UGCCUGCUCACUGUGUCCCCCGGGUUAUGACGACCUCCAAUAAAGGAAACAAGGCCUUAAAGGUGAAGCGGGAGCCAGGCGAGAAUGGCACCAGCUUGACCGACGAGGAGCUGGUAACCAUGUUGGUGCGAGAGUUGAACCAGCACCUGCGAGGCUUCUCCAAGGAAGAGAUCAUCCAGCUGAAGCAGCGGCGGCGCACACUGAAGAACCGGGGCUACGCGGCCAGCUGCAGAGUCAAGCGGAUGACACAGAAGGAGGAGCUGGAGAAGCAGAAGGCGGAGCUCCAGCAGGAGGUGGAGAAGCUGGCCUCGGAGAAUGCCAGCAUGAAGCUGGAGCUCGAUGCCCUGCGCUCCAAGUACGAGGCCCUGCAGAACUUUGCCAGGACCGUGGCCCGCAGCCCUGUGGCCCCGGCUCGGGGUCCCCUUGCUGCUGGCCUGGGGCCCCUGGUUCCUGGCAAGGUGGCUACCACCAGCGUCAUCACCAUAGUAAAGUUCAAGACGGAUGCUCGGUCAUAGGGACACGUGCAGUUGCCAGGCAGGUCUUUGAGGGGCCACUAGGUGCGUGGCAGAGUUGGCAGCCCCGUCCCUCUUCCUUUCAUUUCCCUUCCUUUCUCCUCUCCCUUCCCUGUUUCCUUCCCUGCAAAGCACAACCUGCACCCAGGGGCACUAGGCUGAGCCCCUUGAUCAUCUUCGUUGUCANGCCUGUGUUUCGUACGUUGGGAUCAGNCAGUUCAACAGUGAUGUUGGGUUGCCCUUAACCCCUUUGUACCAAGGCCGUGCAGGCUAGGAGUCCAGAGUGGGCACUGUGGGAGUGGACGAGAGUGCACGUGGGCAAGUGUACUGGGCUUAGGGCUGCCCUUGUCUCCCUGGUGGUCUGCANUGGGAUUUGAGCGCUUUCCUUUCAGAAGUCCAGUGGGNCUCUCAGCUUAAUCCAGAAGGAAGAGAUGGGCUCUGCCCUGAAAAGUGGUUAUGUCUUGAAGCCCCUGGGUGAAUAGGCCACCAGCCUGGGCACUGGGGNGGGAACCAUGGUGCUGGAGCCUGGCACAGUGCACCGGACAAGACCGAAUUGCC